rnacentral:sRNA from 1 species
AAGCAUCAUCUCAGUGAGUCA